rnacentral:rRNA from 1 species
GCAAGUCGAACGGUAACAGGACUGGCUUGCUAGUUGCUGACGAGUGGCGGACGGGUGCGUAACGCGUGGGAAUCUACCUUUUAGUGGGGGAUAGCCCGGAGAAAUCCGGAUUAAUACCGCAUAAGCCCUACGGGGGAAAAGGGGCCUCUUCUUGAAAGCUCUUGCUAUUAGAUGAGCCCGCGUAAGAUUAGCUAGUUGGUGGGGUAAAAGCCUACCAAGGCGACGAUCUUUAGCUGGUCUGAGAGGAUGAUC